rnacentral:misc_RNA from 1 species
AAAAUAUUCUCUCUUACAGCUAACGUUAACACUCGCUCUUUCUCUCAUGUUGUCUUCUUUCUCUGGUUUAUCCUCUAUAUCUAGCUCCUAGUGCCAUUUAGCUCCCCUAUUCGAAGAUCGGCUCUGCUAUCCUCGAUUUAGUGGUAGCCCUAGUGUUUUUGCAGUGCUAGGUGUUCGGACUGGAGAUGGAUUCAUCAAUUUCUCAGGUGCAUAGGAUUGUUGACUUAGCUGUUAUACCUUUCUAUAGUUUUCUCGAAUACUUGUGGUGCUUGUGGCCUUGUGCUUUAGUUAUUGCAGAAACUUUGGUGUUUUUGCCCUAUUUCUGCUGUGUUGCAGUGCUGGUCAAAGAGGUUUGUGCUUUAGAUGCACUGUUUUCACUGGUGUUGAUCAUUUGUGGCUUGAGUGGAUGACGAUCUAGACAGCUUCUGGAGCUUUUCUUCUUUUGGGUCAGGCUCUUUGUGUUGUAUAUGAUAUUUGGUUUUAAUUUAAUUUGGUUAGGCCUAUGUAUCUUAGCCCGCCUCUUGUAUUUCUCUUAAAAAUAAAUUAAAAAAUAAGUCAUUAUAAU